rnacentral:rRNA from 1 species
UACGUAGGGUGCGAGCGUUAUCCGGAAUUAUUGGGCGUAAAGAGCUCGUAGGCGGUUUGUCGCGUUCUGUCGUUGAAAAGUCCGGGGCUUAACCCCGGAUCUGCGGUGGGUACGGGCAGACUAGAGUGCAGUAGGGGAGACUGGAAUUCCUGGUGUAGCGGUGGAAUGCGCAGAUAUCAGGAGGAACACCGAUGGCGAAAGGCAGGUCUCUGGGCUGUAACUGACGCUGAGGAGCGAAAGCAUGGGGAGCGAACAGGAUUAGAUACCCGGCGUCAUC